rnacentral:misc_RNA from 1 species
AAGUCGUAACAAGGUUUCCGUAGGUGAACCUGCGGAAGGAUCAUUAAAUGAGUAACGGCGCCUCGGUGCCCACUCCCACCACAUGUGAACCCUUAACUGUUGCUUUGGCGGGUAGGUACCCGUACUGUACCGCCCAGCGCUUGCUGGGAGGUGCCCGUCAGAGACUCCCAAACCCGCUCAACUGUGGUAUCUGAGAAAGCUUAAUAAUAAAACUUUUAACAACGGAUCUCUUGGUUCUG